UUUUGAUCGGAAUAUUGGAGUUUGUUUGAAUUGGAAAUAAGGUUUCCAAAGAGGAAACUUGUUCGAAAAUAUGGUGUUUGACUUUGGGACGCUGGUGGCAAGUUUGAACAGAUUAUCAACUUCUGAUCAUCAAUCUGUUGUGUCGAUUAACUUGUUUGUUGCAUUAAUCUGCGCGUGUAUUAUUAUCGGUCAUCUACUCGAGGAAAAUAGAUGGAUGAAUGAGUCCAUUACUGCCCUUGUUAUCGG
rnacentral:misc_RNA from 1 species